UACGUAGGUGGCAAGCGUUGUCCGGAUUUACUGGGCGUAAAGGGCGUGCAGGCGGUCUGUUAAGUGCAGGGUGAAAGCUCCCGGCUCAACUGGGAGAGGUCCUUGCAUACUGGCGGACUUGAGGGGGGUAGAGGAAAGUGGAAUUCCCGGUGUAGUGGUGAUAUGCGUAGAUAUCGGGAGGAACACCUGUGGCGAAGGCGGCUUUCUGGACCAUAACUGACGCUGAGGCACGAAAGCGUGGGUAGCAAACAGG
rnacentral:rRNA from 1 species